rnacentral:misc_RNA from 1 species
AGAUUUUGCACUUUCUGUAAUGUUCGAGGCCAUGUUAGAGAGUCUUGCUUCAAAUUCUUUGGCUAUCCAAAGCGGUACAAAGAAUUUAAACAAAAGAAAGGAAAGCAACAGGCCAAUGUUGUCUCUCAUUUUGCUGACCUAUGGAGGUUAAAACUCAAAGCAAGUACACUGAAUGGACUGCUAGUUUGCCUAGUCUGGUUUAAUAGGAAGCGGAGAAGCUGAUGAAAGGAAAGAUUAAUGCUAUUGAA